AAGGUAAGAGAGCUUGCUCUCUGAUUCAGCGGCGGACGGGUGAGUAAUGCCUAGGAAUCUGCCUGGUAGUGGGGGACAACGUUUCGAAAGGAACGCUAAUACCGCAUACGUCCUACGGGAGAAAGCACCGGACCUUCGGGCCUUGCGCUAUCAGAUGAGUUUAGGUCGGAUUAGCUAGUUGGUGAGGUAAUGGCUCACCAAGGCGACGAUCCGUAACUGGUCUGAGAGGAUGAUCAGUCACACUGGAACUGAGACACGGUCCAGACUCCUACGGGAGGCAGCAGUGGGGAAUAUUGGACAAUGGGCGAAAGCCUGAUCCAGCCAUGCCGCGUGUGUGAAGAAGGUCUUCGGAUUGUAAAGCACUUUAAGUUGGGAGGAAGGGCAGUAAGUUAAUACCUUGCUGUUUUGACGUUACCGACAGAAUAAGCACCGGCUAACUCUGUGCCAGCAGCCGCGGUAAUACAGAGGGUGCAAGCGUUAAUCGGAAUUACUGGGCGUAAAGCGCGCGUAGGUGGUUCGUUAAGUUGGAUGUGAAAUCCCCGGGCUCAACCUGGGAACUGCAUCCAAAACUGGCGAGCUAGAGUAUGGUAGAGGGUGGUGGAAUUUCCUGUGUAGCGGUGAAAUGCGUAGAUAUAGGAAGGAACACCAGUGGCGAAGGCAAAACCUGCAUGCAA
rnacentral:rRNA from 2 species